UACGUAGGGUGCAGGCGUUAAUCGGAAUUACUGGGCGUAAAGCGUGCGCAGGCGGCUCCUUAAGUCAGAUGUGAAAGCCCCGGGCUUAACCUGGGAACUGCGUUUGAAACUGGGGAGCUGGAGUGUAGAAGAGGGGGGUGGAAUUCCAGGUGUAGCAGUGAAAUGCGUAGAUAUCAGGAGGAACACCAAUGGCGAAGGCAGUUUGCUAGGCUGAUUCAGACACUGAGAUGUGAAAGCGUGGGGAGCGAACGGG
rnacentral:rRNA from 1 species